rnacentral:rRNA from 1 species
GAUGAACGCUGGCGGCGUGCCUAAUACAUGCAAGUCGAGCGAACGGACGAGAAGCUUGCUUUUCUGAUGUUAGCGGCGGACGGGUGAGUAACACGUGGAUAACCUACCUAUAAGACUGGGAUAACUUCGGGAAACCGGAGCUAAUACCGGAUAAUAUUUUGAACCGCAUGGUUCAAAAGUGAAAGACGGUCUUGCUGUCACUUAUAGAUGGAUCUGCGCUGCAUUAGCUAGUUGGUAAGGUAACGGCUUACCAAGGCAACGAUGCAUAGCCGACCUGAGAGAGUGAUCGGCCACACUAGAACUGGGACACGGUCCAGACUCCUACGGGAGGCAGCAGUAGGGAAUCUUCCGCAAUGGGCGAAAGCCUGACGGAGCAACGCCGCGUGAGUGAUGAAGAUCUUCGGAUCGUAAAACUCCGUUAUUAGGGAAGAACAUAUGUGUAAGUAACUGUGCACAUCUUGACGGUACCUAAUCAGAAAGCCACGGCUAACUACGUG